CAAUAGCGUAUAUUUAAGUUGUUGCAGUUAAAAAGCUCGUGGUUGGAUUUCUGGUGGGAGCGAUCGGUCUGGCGCUUAGCGCGAGUACUUGCAUCGUCUCCGGCCAUCCUUGGGGAGAGUCUGUCUGGCAUUAGGUUGUCGGGCAGAGGAUCCUCAUCGUUUACUGUGAAAAAAUUAGAGUGUUCAAAGCAGGCUUAUGCCGUUGAAUAUAUUAGCAUGGAAUAAUAAGAUAGGACUUUGGUACUAUUUUGUUGGUUUGCGCACCAAAGUAAUGAUUAAUAGGGACAGUUGGGGGUAUUCGUAUUCCGUUGUCAGAGGUGAAAUUCUUGGAUUUACGGAAGACGAACUACUGCGAAAGCAUUUACCAAGGAUGUUUUCAUUAA
rnacentral:rRNA from 1 species